AGAGUUUGAUCCUGGCUCAGGAUGAACGCUAGCGACAGGCUUAACACAUGCAAGUCGAGGGGCAUCAUGAGGUAGCAAUACCUUGAUGGCGACCGGCGCACGGGUGAGUAACGCGUAUGCAACCUGCCUGAUACCGGGGUAUAGCCCAUGGAAACGUGGAUUAACACCCCAUAGUACUUUUAUCCUGCAUGGGAUGUGAGUUAAAUGUUCAAGGUAUCGGAUGGGCAUGCGUCCUAUUAGUUAGUUGGCGGGGUAACAGCCCACCAAGACGAUGAUAGGUAGGGGUUCUGAGAGGAAGGUCCCCCACAUUGGAACUGAGACACGGUCCAAACUCCUACGGGAGGCAGCAGUGAGGAAUAUUGGUCAAUGGACGAGAGUCUGAACCAGCCAAGUCGCGUGAGGGAAGACUGCCCUAUGGGUUGUAAACCUCUUUUAUAAGGGAAGAAUAAGUUCUACGUGUAGAAUGAUGCCUGUACCUUAUGAAUAAGCAUCGGCUAACUCCGUGCCAGCAGCCGCGGUAAUACGGAGGAUGCGAGCGUUAUCCGGAUUUAUUGGGUUUAAAGGGUGCGUAGGCGGUUUAUUAAGUUAGUGGUUAAAUAUUUGAGCUAAACUCAAUUGUGCCAUUAAUACUGGUAAACUGGAGUACAGACGAGGUAGGCGGAAUAAGUUAAGUAGCGGUGAAAUGCAUAGAUAUAACUUAGAACUCCGAUAGCGAAGGCAGCUUACCAGACUGAAACUGACGCUGAUGCACGAGAGCGUGGGUAGCGAACAGGAUUAGAUACCCUGGUAGUCCACGCCGUAAACGAUGCUCACUGGUUCUGUGCGAUAUAUUGUACGGGAUUAAGCGAAAGUAUUAAGUGAGCCACCUGGGGAGUACGUCGGCAACGAUGAAACUCAAAGGAAUUGACGGGGGCCCGCACAAGCGGAGGAACAUGUG
rnacentral:rRNA from 1 species